GUCAGGGAUGGCUGAGCUGUCUAAGGCGCCUAGACCCCAAGAUCAACUCUUCCUACUAAUAUAUGGGUGUUCUGGUCUCCACGUGGAGGCGUGGGUUCAAAUCCCACUUCUGACA